CAGCAGUCGCCGCGGGAAUACAGAGGGUGCGAGCGUUAAUCGGAUUUACUGGGCGUAAAGCGUGCGUAGGCGGCUUUUUAAGUCGGAUGUGAAAUCCCUGAGCUUAACUUAGGAAUUGCAUUCGAUACUGGGAAGCUAGAGUAUGGGAGAGGAUGGUAGAAUUCCAGGUGUAGCGGUGAAAUGCGUAGAGAUCUGGAGGAAUACCGAUGGCGAAGGCAGCCAUCUGGCCUAACACUGACGCUGAGGUACGAAAGCAUGGGGAGCAAACAGGAUUAGAUACCCCCGUAGUCCCUGUCUCUUAUAC
rnacentral:rRNA from 1 species